rnacentral:misc_RNA from 1 species
GAUGAAGAACGCAGUGAAAUGCGAUAAGUAGUGUGAAUUGCAGAAUUCAGUGAAUCAUCGAAUCUUUGAACGCACAUUGCGCCUCCUGGUAUUCCGGGAGGCAUGCCUGUUCGAGCGUCAUUAAAAUCACUCAAGCUUAGGUUUGCCUAUUGCUUGGUCUUGAAGAUGGAAGCUAAGUAAUUAGAAUCCUCUUCGAAAUCCAAUGGCGAAGACCCUUGCUCUCCCAAGUGUAGUAAUAACUUAUUCACUGAAGGAAGCGAGUAAUCUUCCGCCGUAACCCCCAUAUUUUCUAUGAUUGACCUCGGAUCAGGUAGGGAUACCCGCUGAACUUAAGCAUAUCAAUAAGCGGAGGA